rnacentral:rRNA from 1 species
CCUACGGGUGGCUGCAGUGGGGAAUAUUGGACAAUGGGCGAAAGCCUGAUCCAGCCAUGCCGCGUGUGUGAAGAAGGCCUUCGGGUUGUAAAGCACUUUCAUUGGGGAAGAAAGCCUUGGGGCUAAUACCCUCGAGGAAGGACAUCACCCACAGAAGAAGCACCGGCUAACUCCGUGCCAGCAGCCGCGGUAAUACGGAGGGUGCGAGCGUUAAUCGGAAUUACUGGGCGUAAAGCGCGCGUAGGCGGUCUGAUAAGCCGGUUGUGAAAGCCCCGGGCUCAACCUGGGAACGGCAUCCGGAACUGUGAGGCUAGAGUGCAGGAGAGGAAGGUAGAAGUCCAGGUGUAGCGGUGAAAUGCGUAGAGAUCGGGAGGAAUACCAGUGGCGAAGGCGGCCUUCUGGACUGACACUGACGCUGAGGUGCGAAAGCGUGGGUAGCAAACAGGAUUAGAUACCCCAGUAGUC